rnacentral:rRNA from 1 species
UACGUAGGGGGCGAGCGUUGUCCGGAUUCAUUGGGCGUAAAGAGCUCGUAGGCGGUUCGGCAAGUCGGGUGUGAAAACUCCAGGCUCAACCUGGAGACGCCACCCGAUACUGCUGUGACUUGAGUCCGGUAGGGGACCACGGAAUUCCUGGUGUAGCGGUGAAAUGCGCAGAUAUCAGGAGGAACACCGGUGGCGAAGGCGGAUCUCUGGGCCAUUACUGACGCUGAGGAGCGAAAGCGUGGGGAGCGAACAGG